rnacentral:rRNA from 1 species
CGUGCCAGCAGCCGCGGUAAAACGUAGGGGACAAGCGUUAUCCGGAUUCACUGGGCGUAAAGAGCGUUGAGGCGGUUCCGUAAGUUGGGCGUGAAAGCUCCGGGCUUAACUCGGAGAUGUCGUUCAAUACUGCGGGGCUUGAGGACAGCAGAGGAAGGUGGAAUUCCCGGUGUAGUGGUGAAAUGCGUAGAUAUCGGGAGGAACACCCGUGGCGAAGGCGGCCUUCUGGGCUGUUCCUGACGCUGAAGGCGAAAGCUAGGGGAGCGAACGGGAUUAGAUACCCCGGUAGUCCUAGCUGUAAACGAUGGAUGCUGGGUGUGGGGGGUGUAAAUUCCCUCUGUGCCGAAGCAAACGCGUUAAGCAUCCCGCCUGGGGACUACGGCCGCAAGGCUAAAACUCAAACGAAUUGACGGGGGCCCGCACAAGCAGCGGAGCGUGUGGUUUAAUUCGAUGCUACACGAAGAACCUUACCUGGGUUUGACAUGCACGUGGUAGGGAACCGAAAGGGGACCGACCUUCGGGAGCGUGCACAGGUGCUGCAUGGCUGUCGUCAGCUCGUGCCGUGAGGUGUCGGGUUAAGUCCCGUAACGAGCGCAACCCUUGCCCUUAGUUACAAGUGUCUAAGGGGACUGCCCGGGACAACUGGGAGGAAGGUGGGGAUGACGUCAAGUCAGCAUGGCCUUUAUAUCCAGGGCUACACACACGCUACAAUGGCCGGUACAAUAGGUUGCGAAGUCGUGAGGCGGAGCCAAUCCUCAAAGCCGGUCUCAGUUCGAAUUGCAGUCUGCAACUCGACUGCAUGAAGCUGGAGUUGCUAGUAAUCGCA